GGCGGCGUGGUUUAGGCAUGCAAGUCGAGCGCGAAAGUUCCUUCGGGGGGCGAGUAGAGCGGCGAAAGGGUGAGUAAUGCUUGGGCAACUUACCUCUCGGACCGGGAUAGCCUCUGGAAACGGAGGGUAAUACCGGAUGGUCUCACGAUGACUGCGGUCGACGUGAGUAAAGCGGGGGUCUUCGGACCUCGCCCCGAGAGAGAGGCCCUGGUCCUACCAGCUUGUUGGUGAGGUAAUGGCUCACCAAGGCGAAGACGGGUAGCCGGACUGAGAGGUUGGCCGGCCACACUGGCACUGAGACACUGGCCAGACUCCUACGGGAGGCUGCAGUCGAGAAUCUUCCGCAAUGGACGAAAGUCUGACGGAGCGACGCCGCGUGGAGGAAGAAGGCCUUCGGGUUGUAAACUCCUGUCAGAGUUUAAGAAUGCGUCCGGGCUAAUAUCCCGUGUCGUUGACAAAGGACUCAAAGGAAGCCACAGCUAACUUCGUGCCAGCAGCUGCGGUAAUACGAAGGUGGCGAGCGUUGUUCGGAUUCACUGGGCAUAAA
rnacentral:rRNA from 1 species